AUGAACACAACAGGCAAGGCCAUCACUGAAGGCUACAAAGAAGUUACCACAACUACGUUUGACAAUGUGUCCUGCAGCAAAUCUAAUCUCGGAGCAGUCAAGAACCUACCUUCACAUAACACAACAUCUCGACCUGACUGGUUACUCUACACAGUUCCUGCGUCAGCCUUUCUGAUUGGGAUUGUUCUGUUCACGUACAUCUGCAAAACACAACAGCGCAGGAACAUGCCAACAAAGCAGAGGACAAACACAAUUGGACAUUUUGCCACGCACACCGAAAUUGGGCACACUGAGAGCGGUACUCAGAGGUGUAUGGAGAAUGCUGAAAACAACAAGAAGGAUGAGACGCAGUCAUAUGAGAAUGUAGAAGCAGCUAUCUACAACAAUCAAGACAAAGUCACAUACUAUGUUUCUGCAGAUGAAGAUUAUCUUAACCCGGAUGCAGUUGGGGAAGAGGAAGUGGCGGGACCACAGGAACAUCACAACACCUUACAACUGCCUAGCAAUUUGACAGAUAUGGAUGGAGAGUCGUAUGAGAAUAUGGAGGAGUGUUUAUAUGCUCAACCUCGCAAACAGACACAGAAACUCCGACACGCCACUGAAGACGAAGACUACAUCAAUCCUGAUGAAGAUGGAAAACAAGAUCUCGCUCUGGACCACGCAGACACUGAGUCGUAUGAAAUGAUGUCCGGGCCAGACUGUCUGUACAACAACACUGGCUUUACAGCAGCCCAUGGCACCACGGAGGAUGAUUCAUAUGAGCUGAUGAAUGGAAUCCCAGUCUCGUUGCAGACAGAGAUGGAUGGAGGAAGGCCGUGUGAAUGAAAGAGAUGCAGAGAAAUAGACAACUGCAGUCAAAUUGCAGUUAAAAGAGAGAAACUAAAAGAGUCCCUUUUUAAAAUUUAAACCUCUGAGAGCAGCUACUGGAUGACAGUUAAUUAUUAUUUUUUAUAUAAAUAGCCUAUAUCAAUUAUAUAAUUACAUCAAAAACAAACUUGAGAUUGAAAUCAAAAUGGACUAUUUACUUGUUUCAUAGACUUUUAUUGCACAAGUAAUCACUUCAAAGAAACAAUGACACACAACCCACGUUUCACUAUCCAAUAAAAUCCUGAAUUUCACUCGAAAUGUCA
ensembl:lncRNA